GGCGGACGGGUGAGUAACGCGUGGGAAUCUGCCUACUAGCGGGGGAUAGCCCGGAGAAAUCCGGAUUAAUACCGCAUACGCCCUACGGGGGAAAGCUGGGGAUCUUCGGACCUGGCACUAGUAGAUGAGCCCGCGUUAGAUUAGCUUGUUGGUGGGGUAAUGGCCUACCAAGGCAACGAUCUAUAGCUGGUCUGAGAGGACGAUCAGCCACACUGGGACUGAGACACGGCCCAG
rnacentral:rRNA from 1 species